rnacentral:rRNA from 1 species
AGCGAACGCUGGCGGCGUGCCUCAUACAUGCAAGUCGCGCGAGAAACCUCCUUCGGGAGGGAGUAAAGCGGCGCACGGGUGAGUAACACGUAGGUAACGUGCCCUUGAGUCUGGGAUAACUCGGGGAAACUCGGGCUAAUACCGGAUGCGACCGUGGGAUCCUCGGAUCCUGCGGGGAAAGGUGGCCUCUGCUUGCAAGCUACCGCUCAUGGAUCGGCCUGCGUCCCAUUAGCUAGUUGGUGAGGUAACGGCUCACCAAGGCGGAGAUGGGUAGCUGAUCUGAGAGGAUGAUCAGCCACACUGGAACUGAGAUACGGUCCAGACUCCUACGGGAGGCAGCAGUAGGGAAUUUUGGGCAAUGGGCGAAAGCCUGACCCAGCAACGCCGCGUGAGGGAUGAAGGCCUUCGGUCGUAACC